GCAAACCUGAAGCUGCAAGUGCUCAGUCCAAGUUGGUGUUUGUAACUUCUUUCUAUGAAAGUCUGAUGUGGGUUCUCUCCUAAACUUCUAUUAGAACGGUGGGAAACAUUGCUCCCGUGAGAACGGUAUAGUGGACUUCAUCGCCACUGACCCACAGUUAUUAGGGUGUGACACGAACUUGUGGACAGAGUACCGAGCUGCUGCUUUGCCCGGUGGAUUUCUGGUUGCGGGAAAAGGACCCGACACAUCAGUGUGUUUUAAUUUGUUUUAAACUGGUGUAAUUCGACGGCCCGACUGCUGCGGCUGUCGAUUGUUUUGUUAUUUUGUUUUAUUUUUUCUGUAUCAGUAGGCACCACAGAUAUUGAUUCUUUUAGUAUUUUAACCCCUUUUUAUAUAUAUAUUGUUGUGAACGGUAAAGGCGCAGCAGGGAAAACAAAUCCUUUUUUUUUUUUUUUGUCUCGCCGCUUUUGCAUGCACAGCGGUGGGCCUGAGUGAAGACGGCACUGAAGAGUUGCCUUUUUCUAUAGUGUUUUGCCCAUUUGGGGGUUGUGUGAGUUGCCGUCCCUUUUUAACCUGUGUGCUAUGUUGAUUUGUUCUUAAACGGUUCCCCGCAGCGCUUGUCCUGUCUCACGGGCAAUCAUACAGUUUUAUCGUUUUUAAACAAGGUAAAGUUUUUAAUUGUUUUUAAGUGCCGCUGUUACACUGUUACUUUUAUUUUGUAUUAAAAAUUAAAUUAUUUUUAACUGA